rnacentral:rRNA from 1 species
GUGUCUUCGAGUCGUUGAUUUCACACUGCCGAGAAAAGCCUCUAGAUAGAAAAUAGGUGCCCGUACCGCAAACCGACACAGGUAGUCAAGAUGAGAAUUCUAAGGUGAGCGAGCGAACUCUCGUUAAGGAACUCGGCAAAAUGACCCCGUAACUUCGGGAGAAGGGGUGCUCUUUAGGGUUAACGCCCAGAAGAGCCGCAGUGAAUAGGCCCAAGCGACUGUUUAUCAAAAACACAGGUCUCUGCUAAACCGUAAGGUGAUGUAUAGGGGCUGACGCCUGCCCGGUGCUGGAAGGUUAAGAGGAGUGGUUAGCUUCUGCGAAGCUACGAAUCGAAGCCCCAGUAAACGGCGGCCGUAACUAUAACGGUCCUAAGGUAGCGAAAUUCCUUGUCGGGUAAGUUCCGACCCGCACGAAAGGCGUAACGAUUUGGGCACUGUCUCAACGAGAGACUCGGUGAAAUCAUAGUACCUGUGAAGAUGCAGGUUACCCGCGACAGGACGGAAAGACCCCGUGGAGCUUUACUGUAGCCUGAUAUUGAAAUUCGGCACAGCUUGUACAGGAUAGGUAGGAGCCUUUGAAACGUGAGCGCUAGCUUACGUGGAGGCGCUGGUGGGAUACUACCCUAGCUGUGUUGGCUUUCUAACCCGCACCACUUAUCGUGGUGGGAGACAGUGUCAGGCGGGCAGUUUGACUGGGGCGGUCGCCUCCUAAAAGGUAACGGAGGCGCUCAAAGGUUCCCUCAGAAUGGUUGGAAAUCAUUCAUAGAGUGUAAAGGCAUAAGGGAGCUUGACUGCGAGACCUACAAGUCGAGCAGGGUCGAAAGACGG